ACUUAUUAUGAUAAAAUCAGAUGACAAAAUAACAAAAUAAAAGUUUCUAUUUACAAAUAAACAAUAACAAAGAAAAGGAAUACUGAUAGUAACAAAUUUAAAAAGUACAUAAUUUGUGUCGUAAGAAUAAAAUAUAUACAAAAGGACAUCAUCUGUAAUGAUACAAAAAUAUAUGACAAAGCAUAUACAUGUAAUGAAUCUCUAAAAAAAAA
rnacentral:lncRNA from 1 species